CUAACACUUACCUGAAUCUCAAGCAAACGAAUGAAUUAGUAAAUAUGAAUAGAUUCGGUUUUCACCUUGUUCGACUUUCUUUUUAAUUUUCUACUCUCUAUUUUUAAAGAUCUAUAUACAUGCAAUUAAGGGUUUGAUUUAAAAGAUGAAUAAUCAAAUAUAAAAUGGAAAAAGAUUUUUCAAAAUUGGUAUCAGAUUCGAACUCUUGACCUAAAGAAGCAUAGUUUUAUUUCCUCCCUUCGGUGACUCCUUCAUCACUGCAAUCUACCACCCUCAUGCGACUGCCAUCUGCUCAGGUCAUCGUCACCCACUCUUGUCA
rnacentral:lncRNA from 1 species